CCUACGGGAGGCAGCAGUGAGGAAUAUUGGUCAAUGGACGCAAGUCUGAACCAGCCAUGCCGCGUGCAGGAAGACGGCCCUAUGAGUUGUAAACUGCUUUUGUACGAGGGUAAACGCAGAUACGCGUAUCUGUCUGAAAGUAUCGUACGCAUAAGGAUCGGCUAACUCCGUGCCAGCAGCCGCGGUAAUACGGAGGAUUCAAGCGUUAACUGGAUUUAUUGGGGUUAAAGGGUGCGUAGGCGGUCGGAUAAGUUAGAGGUGAAAUCCCGGGGCUCAACUUGGGAAUUGCCUUUGAUACUGUGCAGCUGGAGAGUAGGAGAGGAGGGCGGAAGGUAAGGUGUAGGGGUGAAAUGCGUAGAGAUCAUAAGGAACACCGGUUGCGAAGGCAGCUUACUAGGCUACUUCUGACGUUGAGGGGCGAAAGCGUGGGGAGCAAACAGGAUUAGAUACCCGAGUAGUC
rnacentral:rRNA from 1 species